UACGAAGGGUGCUAGCGUUGUCCGGAAUUAUUGGGCGUAAAGCGCUCGUAGGUGGAUCGAUAAGUCUGUGAGGAAAUGCCUGGGCUCAACUCAGGAACCCGUGCGGAUACUAUCGAUCUUGAGGCAAUCAGAGGAUGAUGGAAUUCCCGGUGUAGCGGUGAAAUGCGCAGAUAUCAGGAGGAACACCAAUGGCGAAGGCAGCUCGCUGGGACGUGACUGACGCUGAGACGCGAAAGCGUGGGGAGCAAACAGG
rnacentral:rRNA from 1 species